CGCUCCCAUCUCCAAGAACUCCAAGGACUACACGCUCUUCUGUCACCUCCCCAGAUGAAAUCAGCUUAUCUCCUGGGGAUUUAGACACCAGUUUGUGUGACAUUUGUAUGUGCAGUAUCUCUGUAUUUGAAGACCCUGUGGAUAUGCCCUGUGGACAUGACUUUUGUAGAGGAUGUUGGGAGUCCAUUGUAAUAAGCAGAGAGAGCCUACCUAUGAUAUCAUCUGUGAAUUUUACCUGCAAGAUAAAAAUAUAGGUUUUUGAAUCUGAAAAUUCAAGAAGGUGAAGCUCACAACAUUUUUUGCCCUGCAUAUGAUUGCUUCCAACUUGUACCUGUGGAUAUCAUAGAAAGUGUAGUUUCAAAGGAGAUGGACAAACGAUACCUACAGUUUGAUAUUAAGGCCUUUGUUGAAAAUAAUCCUGCCAUUAAAUGGUGUCCUACUCCAGGCUGUGACAGAGCAGUAAGACUAACGAAACAAGGGUCAAAUACAUCUGGAUCUGAUACACUCAGCUUCCCAUUGCUGAGAGCUCCUGCUGUUGAUUGUGGAAAAGGACACCUCUUCUGCUGGGAGUGCCUUGGUGAAGCACAUGAGCCUUGUGACUGCCAAACAUGGAAGAAUUGGCUGCAAAAAAUAACCGAAAUG
rnacentral:lncRNA from 10 species